rnacentral:lncRNA from 1 species
CAAAGUCCGUUAUUCAAGUACAUCACAAAUCAUAUUCUAAUUUGAAAUGCAACAAACAUAAUGGUUCUCUCAUGAGGGAAAUGCAAUAGCUUGUCUUCAUUAAUUACUCUGGUAAACUAAAACGUCUGGCCCAUCAUUGGAAAAUGUCUUCUUUGCUUUGAGAGCUACAUCAUCAUGGUAAAUCGAACCGUCAUUUUUUGUCUCAAAAUAUGGCGUUUGUUCUUUAAGUGUAACAUCAUUGUGAUAUAUAGAUAGAUCAAGCCUCGGAUCAAACUCCUUUUUGAGACCUGCAUCAUUAUGGUGAUUUGUAAAAUCAUGUUUUGUCUCAAAAUAUAGCUUAUGUGCUUCAAGAUUGGCAUGGUUGUGGUUUUCAGUUGUGCGACAAUCGGCUUUCUCUUUUGUGGAGGUAGAAGCUUCAACGAGUGCUUGUAAUGCUUCUGGCAGUGGCUGAUCUUUCAUUUCCCUACUCCAAUAUUCACCCACAUCUUUUCUUGCAUUGACAGUGCUUGAGAACUGCAAAAUAAAAAUAAUAAAACUCACUCGUCAGUUUAUUUAAGAAAAAUAAAACUUAUAUCAUUAAUGGGUUUCAAUUAGCUAAUCUUCAUUGAUCCAUUAAUGUAUUUAAACACACAUACACAUUAAGAACAGACUUUUUUCUUUUUUUUUUUUUUUUUUUUUGAAAUUUCAUUACUAAUUAACAGACUAUUACUAACCAAGAUAAGUAAGAAGAUAGAGAGGAAAGCAAAAAGCAAUUUCAUCUUUUUUGCAGAGAAGAAAUUAGACAAUGUGUAGUGUUAUUUGAGUGGAUAUCCGUCGUCCCUGAUAUCGUCACUAUUUAUAGCCAAAAUCAAAGAAUGCAAAAAUAUAAAGAAAUUAUUAUGUAAGGUGCAAAUAAGGUGACCUCUCAUUUCAUAUUGUCCUUCUUGUCGUAAUACGACAAAUAAAUAUCAUAAUCUUGGGAGGUACCCAAAUCGUGUAUUAGGUACCCAAAUAACAUACGACGUAAUUACUAUAUGUAAUCUCUAGGUUUUAUUCAAAUAUACUAAUAAAACUUUAGUUUCUAAAAUUAUACUACGAAGUCUUUACAUUAUAAUUUCGUUACACUAUAGAGUCUAAUUAUUAGUUUUUUCGUUAAGUGACUGUAAAAUAUUAAAAGCACCCCUAAACAUAAUUAGUAUAUAAUCCUUACUAUUAGGUGAAAUACACUAAUAAAGACAUUAUUUUUCAUACCUUUACAUUAUUUAAUCCCUAUAUAUAGUAAUUGUGUUUAGGGUUAUUUUUAAUAUUCCACAACAAUUUAAUAAAAAAAAAACUAACCGCUGGACCUUAUAGUAUAAUAGAAUUAUAAUGCUGAGAUUAAAUAGUGUAAUUUUAAAAAUGAAAGUCUUUACUAAUGUAUUUGAUAUAAACCUAGGAACUAUAUAGUAAUUAACACAUAACAUAAUCUUAGGCUAAUUACUGUUUAGUCUUAUAUUAUAAUCAAAUAUAUAAAUUAGGAAUUUAGUUUUUUCAAAAUUCUAUUUUUUUUUCCUACCCUAAAACUUUUGCGAGUACAAGAUUAGUACAUUAUGAAUACUGGAAUAGAUUUGAGGUCAUUAAAAAGUACAAUUUUAUAAAUUAAAGUAUUCUAACAGGUAGAAGUGAACUUUAAAGGUUUGAAAUAUAUAUAUAUAUAUAUAUUUAAACAUCAGUAAAAAUUGAAUUUAAGAUAUUUUGAUUCCAAAACUCAACGCUUUAAUCACUUGGCUAAAAUACAUUUAGUUUAACUGUUUGUACUUGCUGAUAUCGGUUGUUUAUAAUUGCUAGUUCGUGGCUGAUAGUUAUUAAUUGAUAAUGUAUAGUUUUUUUUAUAUUACUCUCAUAUACAAUAUAUGUUAUUUUUUAAGGUAAAUAUAUUAUUUUUUUUAUUUUAACAAAAUCAUACACCUGUGCAUUGCUCAAAUUAUAGUAUAGUCUUUUAUUGAAAAUAUUAAAUACUUUAUUUAUUAAUAAUUUAUGAUAUAAUUACACUCCUAAAAAAUAAUUUAUUUUGUCAUUCUAGCAUGGUAACUUUGCAUCUUUGCGGAUUUAAAUGAUAAUCUAGUUCUUUGCAUUUAACCCCAAAAUAAUCACAUGAAAAGGAAAAAAAAAAAAAAAAUCUUUUGAAAAGGUUGUUUGCUUGUGGAUUUCAUUUCCCUCUGUAUUCUAUUUUUGCUUUUGGUUUUCAGUAUUUCAUACCCUUUUUUGGUUUGUAAAUUUGGUUUAUUGUUGUAGAUCAACAUUUUCUUUUUCUGGUUGAAAAUUGAUGAAAUCUAUGUGUUUCUCCAAUAUUACAUGGUUAGCAAUAGCAACUUAGCAUACAGAGCAAUCCAUGUUAGUAAAUAAUUAGCUAGCUUUCUAAAUAUUUCAAGAAUAAAAUCAUAUAUUUUCAAUAUUUAUUUUGCAUUCCCAAUUCUAAAGAUACAACUAAAGUGAUGCAAACAUAUAUAGAAACAUAUGAUGCAAGAGAAACUGCUUACAUAGCUUCAACACACGAAGUCCGUUAUUCAAGUACAUCACAAAUCAUAUUCUAAUUUGAAAUGCAACAAACAUAAUGGUUCUCUCAUGAGGGAAAUGCAAUAGCUUGUCUUUAUUAAUUACUCUGGUAAAUUAACAUGUCUGGCCUAUCAUUGGAAAAUGUCUUCUUUGCUUUGAGAGCUACAUCAUCAUGGUAAAUUGAAGCGUCAUUUUUUGUCUCAAAAUAUGGCGUUUGUUCUUUGAGUGUGACAUCAUUUUGAUAUAUAGACAGAUCAAGCCUCGGAUCAAACUCCUUUUUGAGACCUGCAUCAUUAUGGUGAUUUGUAAAAUCAUUUUUUGUCUCAAAAUAUAGCUUAUGUGCUUUAAGUGUGGCAUGGUUGUGGUUUUCAGUUGUGCGAAAAUCGGCUUUGUCUUUUGUGGAGGUAGAAGCUUCAACAAGUGCUUGUAAUGCUUCUGGCGGUGGCUGAUCUUUCAUUUCCCUACUCCAAUAUUCACCCACAUCUUUUCUUGCAUUGACAGUGCUUGAG